AACGACUCUCGGCAACGGAUAUCUUGGCUCUCGCAUCGAUGAAGAACGCAGCAAAAUGCGAUACUUGGUGUGAAUUGCAGAAUCCCGUGAAUCAUCGAGUUUUUGAACGCAAGUUGCGCCCGAAGCCUUCCGGCCGAGGGCACGUCUGCCUGGGUGUCACGC
rnacentral:rRNA from 3 species